rnacentral:rRNA from 1 species
ACGAACGCUGGCGGCGUGCUUAACCCAUGCAAGUCGAACGGAAAGGCCCUGCUUUUGUGGGGUGCUCGAGUGGCGAACGGGUGAGUAACACGUGAGUAACCUGCCCUUGACUUUGGGAUAACUUCAGGAAACUGGGGCUAAUACCGGAUAGGAGCUCCUGCUGCAUGGUGGGGGUUGGAAAGUUUCGGCGGUUGGGGAUGGACUCGCGGCUUAUCAGCUUGGUGGUGGGGUAGGGGCUUACCAAGGCUUUGACGGGUAGCCGGCCUGAGAGGGUGACCGGCCACAUUGGGACUGAGAUACGGCCCAGACUCCUACGGGAGGCAGCAGUGGGGAAUAUUGCACAAUGGGCGGAAGCCUGAUGCAGCAACGCCGCGUGCGGGAUGACGGCCUUCGGGUUGUAAACCGCUUUCGCCUGUGACGAAGCGUGAGUGACGGUAAUGGGUAAAGAAGCACCGGCUAACUACGUG